rnacentral:rRNA from 1 species
CCUACGGGUGGCAGCAGUGGGGAAUAUUGGACAAUGGGGGGAACCCUGAUCCAGCCAUGCCGCGUGUGUGAAGAAGGCCCUCGGGUUGUAAAGCACUUUCAGUGAGGAAGAACGCCUGGUGGUUAAUACCCAUCAGGAAAGACAUCACUCACAGAAGAAGCACCGGCUAACUCCGUGCCAGCAGCCGCGGUAAUACGGAGGGUGCGAGCGUUAAUCGGAAUUACUGGGCGUAAAGCGCGCGUAGGUGGCUUGAUAAGCCGGUUGUGAAAGCCCCGGGCUCAACCUGGGAACGGCAUCCGGAACUGUCAAGCUAGAGUGCAGGAGAGGUAGGUAGAAUUCCCGGUGUAGCGGUGAAAUGCGUAGAGAUCGGGAGGAAUACCAGUGGCGAAGGCGGCCUUCUGGACUGACACUGACACUGAGGUGCGAAAGCGUGGGUAGCAAACAGGAUUAGAUACCCCUGUAGUC